AAAUAGGAAGUAAACUAUGAUAAUUUAAAACAAAAUUUAUAAUGAAAUUGGGAUUUAGUUUUCUAAAAGAAACGAUUAAAGAUUUGAAGCGAGAGAAAAUAGUAAUGGCAGCACUUCUGGUUUCAGGAGUUCUGGUUCGGUUCACACAUGCAGAAACAUGGAUUUCACAUGCUUAUUCCUUCAUUAUAUGUGAUUUUUCUUACACACAAAACAGCUCCUAUAACAGGGAAAAAUAUUUUAUUGUAAACCAUUUUAAACCUUUCUAAGAGACCCUCUUCAAUAUACAGACUCUUUUUUAAAUGAACAAUUUAGAAUACAUGUAGC
rnacentral:lncRNA from 1 species